GUAUAGGUUUAAUGACUGCUUGCGCAAUCGUUAAAAGACAUUCUGUAACUUUAUAGUGUAUAUGAAAACAAACGAAGCAGGAGCAGAGUUUAUUCAGACUCCCAAACCGCACGAAUGCGAGAGGUUUCAAUUCAAGACCACAAGAUGUGCACAAGAGAAGAUAAAUAGAUGGAACGAGCACAUGCUCAGUAAAGAGCCAGCAUCAGUACCAAUCGUAUUCAAUAAUGAUCCUUCCGCAGGUUCACCUACGGAAA
rnacentral:misc_RNA from 1 species